GCCCCUUCCGGGGGCCGAGUAGAGUGGCGCACGGGUGAGUAACACGUAGGUAAUCUACCUCUGGGUGGGGAAUAACGACCGGAAACGGUCGCUAAUACCGCAUAAUGCAGCGGCACCACAUGGUGACAGUUGUUAAAGCGGGGGAUCGUAAGACCUCGCGCCUAGAGAUGAGCCUGCGGCGGAUUAGCUAGUUGGCAGGGUAACGGCCUACCAAGGCGACGAUCCGUAGCCGGCCUGAGAGGGCGGACGGCCACACUGGCACUGACAUACGGGCCAGACUCCUACGGGAGGCAGCAGUCGGGAAUUUUGGGCAAUGGGCGAAAGCCUGACCCAGCAACGCCGCGUGAAGGAUGAAGCUUCUCGGAGUGUAAACUUCAUAAGAAUGGGACGAAUAAGGAGGGGUUAACACCCCCUUUGAUGACGGUACCAUUUGUAAGCUCCGGCUAACUCCGUGCCAGCAGCCGCGGUAAUACGGGGGGAGCAAGCGUUGUUCGGAUUUACUGGGCGUAAAGGGCGCGUAGGCGGCGCAACAAGUCACUUGUGAAAUCUCCGGGCUUAACCCGGAGCGGCCAAGUGAUACUGUCGUGCUAAAGUGCGGAAGGGGCUACUGGAAUUCUCGGUGUAGCGGUGAAAUGCGUAGAUAUCGAGAGGAACACCUGCGGCGAAGGCGGGUAGCUGGGCCGACACUGACGCUGAGGCGCGAAAGCCAGGGGAGCGAACGGGAUUAGAUACCCCGGUAGUCCUGGCCU
rnacentral:rRNA from 1 species